AUUACCAAGACAAGAGCAAAACCCUAGUCUUCUUCUUCAUGAGAACAACCAAAAAUCCUAGAAGCCCAGCCGUUGCCCUAACACCGUAACCCCGCCGGACAGCCACCAAACGACCACCCUGAACUCACCGGGAAACAACCAUCCUCCAUAGCCGCUGGAAUCCAAGAACGAACCCCUGGACCCCAAAACAGUCGCUCACCAUCGUCCCCAUCUCCUCACUGUCGACCCCAAUCUCCAGAGCCCCGCCCCAUCUCAGCCAGAAUUCAAACCAGCCUCAAACGUCGUCUUCUGCCUCAGACUGAAGAGAACAAGCAGCGAAACAAGAUCCAUUAGCUGCGGCAGCCAUAAACAAGGAUAGUCGUUACCCUAGGCUUCUUCUUUUUCACAAAGUAUAUAGUAUUAGUACAUACUAAAUAUUUGUCUAUUGGAGCGUUUCAUAGCAAUUGAUACUACCAAAUCUGUGAAUUGUCAGCUUCUGUACAAGCAUUUCCCUAUGCGUCUUUGGUGGAUAUACAAAUUUGUACAUAACUACAUCUUGAGUACCUAACUGUUUAUGUGUUAGUGCGUGUGUAUCUGAAGGAAUCUUUUAACUUCCAUUUCUGUUUCUCUUCACAAAUUCAAGGAUGCACACAAACCUAACUGUUUAUGUGUUAGUGCGUGUGUGUCUGAAGGAAUCUUUUAAUUUUCAUUUCUGUUUCUCUUCACAAAUUCAAGGAUGCACACAAACAAAUGAAAAUAUGAUGUUUUCUUAUAUUUGAGUUAAUUGGCGUUCAAAUUCAAAGAGAAAUACAAAAGAAAAUACAUUUCAAUCUCAUCUUUUGAUUUCAACCCUUUGUUUCGACUCAUGGAGUUUGAACGAGUAGUUAGUGUCGGGUUCGAGUUUUUCGGG
rnacentral:lncRNA from 1 species